ACGUGCUUGUUUCAGCGUGUCGGUUUUUCCUGUGUGAGUAAAUCAACGAUGCUCUAAAUAUCGCUCUGAUCGGUCACGUCCCUCUUUUAACUGUGUCUAAUUAUGUCCAAAUCAUGUCACGUAUAUGACAAAUAUUGAUGUAUGAAUCGCGAUUUGGUGGUCGAUGGAUAUUUGUUUUUCUCAUGGGUACUCGUGCUAGUAAACAGAACCAUUGAUUAUUACUGUUUAUUUCUAAAUCGAAAUGCGGCGGACGCGAACAGAUUGAUUAAUUAAUUGUUCACUAUCAAAUUAUUACCGCGACUUUCACAAACCAGCUCGUGUUUAACCUAAAAGAGGCAGUCUAUGGUUGUUAGACGUGAAUAAGCCAGUUAUAACUUUGUUGUCAACAAGUGUUACAGUGUCGUAUACUGUCUCAAUUUUUUAUGAUAUGAUUAUUGGAGAAACUGAACAUCGAAUGCACAUGAUACUUUCGAUACAAUUCAAUAGUCAGUAAACUAGUUCUCCGAUGAAUCCAUUGCCGAACUUAUCUGAUAUAGUGUAUGAAAAAUUCCUGUGAAAAUUUGUUACCAUAUCAAGAUUUCUGUGACAAAACAGGACGAUGUGAACAUGUGUGUAUAUUUAUGUGCAGCAACGUGAAGUAGGCUGACAUUAUGCAGAAAUUCAGCAAUGGGUACCUGUUCGUAGUCGAGACUGGCAGACAGCGUGAAAACCCCGGUGUUUGGGUUCAGUGAGAACACAUCGUUAGCCCAGUCGGAAAUCAAGGCGUAGCUCAAUUGGCUGUUGGGCCCUUCGCCAUCGAUGUCAGUGGCAACCACCUGGCCAACGCGACUUCCUCUGAGGGCGUUCUCAGGAACGUCGAAAGAGUAAGCCAUGGCCUGGAAUGUGGGGGCAUUGUCGUUCGUGUCCGUUAUCUGGAACAGCGCAGCAGGAAGAGUUUUCUUUAUCUCUAGAUGAAAGGGAGAAAGGAACGCGAGCCAGGUUUAAAUUCGAACGGCAUUCCGAAUUGGGCGAUUGAAGAUGUCUAGGGGCUUCUUGGAUGAAAGACCGUAAUGGCGGUGGAGGGGUUUGCAAAAACUAACCGAGCCUCAAGAUGAUGAGAAGGGGCGCUGCCUGGUGGAUACUGGAAUUGGUGAGAGAGAACGGAGGGGGAAGUAAGAGGCCGAACGAGCACAAGAGUAAGAGAUGAAGGGAGCGUUACAGGAGGAAGAAAAAGGGACAGAGCGAUGAAGAGAGAUGCUCCUUGGGAACGUGUGUGUACGAGAAAGACGGAACGACGUUUCCAGCUAACGAAGAGUGUUAGUUGACCGUAAGUAUUGAUUGCUGUGCAUUUAAUUGCUUCGACGAAUUGCAGCCGCGAAAA
rnacentral:lncRNA from 1 species